GAUGAACGCUGGCGGCGUGCUUAACACAUGCAAGUCGAACGGAAAGGCCCAAGCUUGCUUGGGUACUCGAGUGGCGAACGGGUGAGUAACACGUGGGUGAUCUGCCCUGCACUUCGGGAUAAGCCUGGGCAACUGGGUCUAAUACCGGCUAGGUGCACUUCUUGGAUGUUGUGGUGGAAAGUUUUGUCGGUGUGGGAUGAGCUCGCGGCCUAUCAGCUUGUUGGUGGGGUAAUGGCCUACCAAGGCGUCGACGGGUCGCCGGCCUGAGAGGGUGUACGGCGGCAUUGGGACUGAGAGACGGCCCAGAGUGCUACGGGUGGCAGCAGUGGGGAAUCUUGCACAAUGGACGCAAGCCUGAUGCAGCGACGCCGCGUGGGGGAUAACGGCCUUCGGGUUGUGAACGCCUUUCGCUAGGGACGAAGCGUUUUGUGACGGUACCUGGAGAAGAAGCACCGGCUAACUACGUG
rnacentral:rRNA from 1 species